rnacentral:tRNA from 1 species
UGGGUAGUCGCCAAGCGGUAAGGCAGCAGGUUCUGGCCCUGCCAUCCGGGGGUUCGAAUCCUCCCUACCCAGCCA